GGGCGCAKKYCUGAACCAGCCANGUAGCGUGAAGGAUGACUGCCCUAUGGGUUGUAAACUUCUUUUAUAUGGGAAUAAAGUUUUCCACGUGUGGAAUUUUGUAUGUACCAUAUGAAUAAGGAUCGGCUAACUCCGUGCCAGCAGCCGCGGUAAUACGGAGGAUCCGAGCGUUAUCCGGAUUUAUUGGGUUUAAAGGGAGCGUAGGUGGACAGUUAAKUCAGUUGUGAAAGUUUGCGGCUCAACCGUAAAAUUGCAGUUGAUACUGGCUGUCUUGAGUACAGUAGAGGUGGGCGGAAUUCGUGGUGUAGCGGUGAAAUGCUUAGAUAUCACGAAGAACUCC
rnacentral:rRNA from 1 species